UAGAAUUGUUAUCUUUUCCUCACCUUCUCUCUCUUUACGUUACUCCCCCCUUCACUGUAAGAAUUGCACAGCUCUCAUACUCCCUCUGUUCAGCCACCACGCCUCCACCGUGACAGCUUCGACCACUCCACCGUGAAACAUGUAGUAUCCAUCACCAAUCCAAGCUCUCAAUUUCCUCCUAGUUUUUCUCUAUUUUAGAGCUGAGGUUGCAAACCCAUCUCCAUUUAGCUUAGCAAAUUAGUUGAAAUUAGAGGUGAACCGAGUGCAAGCACAAGCGAUAGGAGAAAGGGGCACAUCCAUGGUUGACUAAACAAGUAAUAGAGUUUUUGUGACGUGUACAGGUAGUAUACGCGGGUUCUAGAGUUUAAUCUCUUUAACUUCGAGACAUAUUGCUACAUUUUUAUAUGUUUUAUCUGCUUGCGCAAUAGAGAUUAAAUAUGGUUGUGUGAAUGGUAUAACUCAAUGACAUAAAUGAGAUAUGGAAAGGUAAGAUGUGAGAAUUAUGUUUUAAAAUUGUGAAUUGGUGUGAUAUAUGAUAUGCAAAGUGAUUUAAGUA